GACGAACCGUGCGAACGUUAUUCGGAUUCACUGGGCUUAAAGGGCGCGUAGGCGGCGAUUCAAGUCUGGGGUGAAAGCCUUCGGCUUAACCGGAGAAGUGCCUUGGAUACUGGAUCGCUCGAGGGGGAUAGGGGCAUGCGGAACUUCCGGUGGAGCGGUGAAAUGCGUAGAUAUCCGGAGGAACACCAGUGGCGAAGGCGACACGCUGGGCCGUACCUGACACUGAUGCGCGACAGCAUGGGGAGCAAACAGG
rnacentral:rRNA from 1 species